GUAAAAGUCGUAACAAGGUUUCCGUAGGUGAACCUGCGGAAGGAUCAUUAUCGUACAACGAGAGGUGCCGGGGCUGUCGCUGACCUCGUCGUGCACGCCCCGAGCGUCAUCUCACACAACAUCCAUCUAACCUUUGUGCAUCACCGCGUGGGCUCCUCCGCAAAAGGGGCUUGCGUUUUUCACACAGACACCAGUGUAGAAUGUCCUUUUUUGCGAUUAGUACGCAAUCAAUACAACUUUCAACAACGGAUCUCUUGGCUCUCGCAUCGAUGAAGAACGCAGCGAAAUGCGAUACGUAAUGUGAAUUGCAGAAUUCAGUGAAUCAUCGAAUCUUUGAACGCACCUUGCGCCCCUUGGCAUUCCGAGGGGCACACCCGUUUGAGUGUCGUGAAAUCCUCAACCUUCACUGUUUCUUUGAUCAGGGAAGGCUUGGACUUUGGAGGCUAUUGCUGGUCUCUGCCCGAAACCAGCUCCUCUUAAAUGGAUUAGCAGGGUCCCCUUUGCCGAUCCUCGGACGUGAUAAGCUGCUUCUACGUCCCGGGGUUUGGUUUCUCUUGCCCCUUGCUUCUGGUCACCCUUUCGGGGGGGACUUUUGAACCCUUUGACCUCAAAUCG
rnacentral:rRNA from 1 species